CUCAUCUAUCUUUAAUAUCAGCUCAUUAAACCACUGGUGAUGUUUAUCCUGGUCCAAGCCGACCUGCUCCAUCACUCCUUCCUGGUUCCUGCAUCCAGCUGGUCCUCCAGUAGGGGUUAGUAGUAAUAAGUGGUACAUCAGCCGCUCCCACUCUGGAAUCCAAAUCAGUGUGAGUGUGAUCAUGUGAGUAGUGUGUGUGUAUUGUGUGUGUGUAGUGUGUGUAGUGUGUGUAUUGUGUGUGUGUAGUGUGUGUGUAGUGUGUGUAGUGUAUGUGUAGUUUGUGUAGUGUGUCUGUAGUGUAUGUGUAGUGUGUGUGUAGUGUGUAUGUAUUAUGUGUAGUGUGUGUAGUGUAUGUAUUGUGUGUAGUGUGUGUAGUGUGUAUGUAGUGUGUGUAGUGUGUGUAGUGUAUAUGUAUUGUGUGUAGUGUGCGUAGUGUAUAUGUAUUGUGUGUAGUGUGUGUGUAGUGUGUGUAGUGUGUAUGUAGUCUGUGCGUAGUGUGUAUGUAGUGUGUAUGUAGUUUGUGUAGUGUGUGUAGUGUGUGUGGUGUGUAUGUAGUGUGUGUAGUGUGUGUGUAGUGCAUGUGUAGUGUAUGUGUAGUGUGUGUAGUGUGUGUGGUGUGUAUGUAGUGUGUGUUGUGUGUGUAGUGUGUGUGUAGUGUGUGUGUAGUGUGUGUAGUGUGUGUGUAGUGUGUAUGUAGUGUGUGUAGUGUGUAUGUAGUGUGUGUAGUGUGUGUGUAGUGUGUAUGUAGUGUGUGUAGUGUGUGUGUAGUGUGCAUGUAGUGUGUGUAGUGUGUGUGUAGUGUGUGUAGUGUGUGUGUAGUGUGUAUGUAGUGUGUGUAGUGUGUGUGUAGUGUGUAUGUAGUGUGUGUAGUGUGUAUGUAGUGUGUGUAGUGUGUGUGUAGUGUGUAUGUAGUGUGUAUGUAGUGUGUGUGUAGUGUGUAUGUAGUGUGUGUAGUGUGUAUGUAGUGUGUGUAGUGUGUGUAGUGUGUGUGUAGUGUGCAUGUAGUGUGUGUAGUGUGUGUGUAGUGUGUGUAGUGUAUAUGUAUUGUGUGUAGUGUGUUUAAUGUGUGUGUAGUGUGUAUGUAGUGUGUGUAGUGUGUAUGUAGUGUGUGUAGUGUGUGUGUAGUGUGUAUGUAGUGUGUAUGUAGUGUGUGUGUAGUGUGUAUUGUGUAUGUAGUGUGUAGUGUGUGUGUAGUGUGUAUGUAGUGUGUAUUGUGUGUAGUGUGUAUGUAGUGUGUGUGUAGUGUGUAUGUAGUGUGUGUGUAGUGUGUGUGUAGUGUGUGUGUAGUGUGUAUGUAGUGUGUGUGUAGUGUGUAUGUAGUGUGUGUGUAGUGUGUAUGUAGUGUGUGUAGUGUGUGUGUAGUGUGUAUGUAGUGUGUGUGUAGUGUGUGUGUA
ensembl:lncRNA